rnacentral:misc_RNA from 1 species
GGGGUGUGUGGGAGGGUUAACUUUGUGCAUGUGACAUGCAUGCACUACCUGAAAAGAUGACGAAGGCAACUUCUAAAAUGCUUCCUUCAAAGAAAAUAUAUACAACAAAAUUUCAGCGAAGACUAAUGGCAAUUUAACCCAAGAUGGUAAAUUAGUAUGGUCAUUCACAAGCUGGUUUAGUGUCAAAGCUACUCAAGCAGAUAGCAAAGGCUUGGAAUGCAGACAGUGGGUAGCGAUAGUCCAUGGUGAAGAUGUCCUUCCCAAUCUUCCCAAAUUGUAGAAUUACUUUUUCCUGUUCUUCUGCUGGCACAUUUUGGCCAGGCUCUACAGCUGCCACCAGCUGGAAAUUUUUCACAGAGGCCACUGUGACACGUCCUUUGAAAUUUAGACACCAGCACUGAAGCUGCUCAUGCCAUCUUGGGGAUUUAUUUUUCAAAAUCAAGGGAUCUUUUCUGCUGCAAAUAGAUUCGUUUGAUUCAGCAAGGCUAGUUGCGCUGAAUUCAAUGAGUGACUCCUUUGAUUUUGAAAUGGACGACGAUGAUGGAGUAGAUUGCUCGCCGUUAGAACUUAUGAAUUCUGUUGGAGUAGGGGCAGUUCCCCCUACUUCAAUUGAAGAGAAGGGAAUUGAAUGCAUGGUGCACUGCAUUCUCCUUGGGCCUCUGGUUCGGAGGACAUUGAGCUCAUAAGAAAUGGUGGCCACAUUGUAGUUUCUAGCACGUACCAGUGGAGAAACCUGAACUGAAUGGAUUUUUCUGCCUGCCUUACAGUUGGAUUGCAUCAUCGGGUGUGGAGGCUGACUAUCAUAAACGGUGAAUUUGGUUCCCAGGAAAUUAGACUUCAGUUUUCCAGCAUAGUUAUUGCUUGUUUGACAGAAAUCACUUCCAACGAAAGAUAUUCGAAAAUCAGUACUUGCUGCCCAUCUAAACUUCUUUGCUGCUAAUAACAAUUUAGUUGUAUCACCAGAGAGAGCAGGACUCAAACCAAGAUACAAGAGAUACGUCGAAGUUGCCCUAUCGCGGCGAAUAAAGCAUUGAAUGGGAGCAUCUCUUGGCCCAGGCUGCUUUAGCGAGAUGGGGAAAGUAAGACAGCCACAUUGCUCAGGGGUCUUAACAAUGUCUUUUGUGAUCUCCCUCCACGACUUGCAGACGGAGGCACAAGCAACAACAUCCCUCCGCGCAGGCCACGAGGUCUCAC